GACGAACGCUGGCGGCGUGCUUAACACAUGCAAGUCGAACGGGCUCUGUCUGGCUGUGUGCUGGGUGGGGUUAGUGGCGAACGGGUGAGUAAUACGUGAGUAACCUGCCCUCUUCUUUGGGCUAAGCCUUGGAAACGGGGUCUAAUACUGGAUAUUCCUUUCUGGUCGCAUGGCUGGGGGGGGAAAGGUUUUUUCGGUGGGGGAUGGGCUCACGGCCUAUCAGGUUGUUGGUGGGGUGAUGGCCUACCAAGGCGGCGACGGGUGGCCGGCCGGCGAGGGGGACCGGCGGCACUGGGACUGGGACACGGCCCAGACUGCGGCGGGAGGCAGCAGUGGGGGAUAAUGCACCAAGGGCGCAAGCCUGAUGCAGCGACGCGGCGUGGAGGAUGACGGCUUUCGGGUUGUAAACCUCUUUCGACGGGGGACGAGGCUCUGCUCGGUGGUGGGGUUGACGGUACCCGGUGAAGAAGCGCCGGCUAACUACGUG
rnacentral:rRNA from 1 species